rnacentral:rRNA from 1 species
AUGAUUGCUUUUGAGUGUAUUCACCAUAUCCAAACUUCUUUCGGAAAUAAUGAUUUUUGUGCGUAUAAGCUAGACCUUUCGAAGGCUUAUGACCGUGUAGAUUGGGACUACUUGGAGCGUGCUCUUUUGAAGUGGGGCUUCUCCCCAUGUUGGGUUGAUCUAGUUAUGGAGUGUGUCAUGUCGGUCAAGUAUUCUGUCAAGUUUAAUGGCCGGCUACUGGAGCAAUUUUCUCCUUCGUGUGGUUUACGUCAAGGUGACCCCAUAUCACCCUUCCUGUUCCUCUUUGUGGCUGACUCCUUGUCUUCCUUAUUACAUGAGGCAGUCCAACAUAGAGGACUUGAGGCUAUCAAAAUCUGUAGGAGAGCCCCUGCUAUAUCACACUUAUUGUUUGCAGACGAUUCCCUUCUGUUCUUCCGUGCUACUACGGAUUCGGCGAUGAUUGUCAAGGAUGUGUUGAGUACUUAUGCUUCAACUACGGGUCAAAUUAUCAACCCAUCAAAGUGCUCCAUCCUGUUUGCUGACAAUUGUCCAAAUCAAGUUGUGGAGGAAGUGAAACAAAUUCUGAAUGUCAAUGUCACUCAACAGGAGUUUGAACCAAAGUAUUUGGGCCUCCCGGUUCCAGAGGGGCGCAUGCAUAAGGGACGUUUUGAAUCUCUGCAGUCUAGAUUGAGUAAGUGCUUGGUGAAUUGGAGUGAACGAUAUUCGUCUUUUGCAAGUAAGGAGGUGCUUAUAAAAGCGGUGACCCAAGCCAUCCCAGUUUAUGUUAUGAGUAUAUUCAAGCUUCCCAUGUCGGUAUGUGAUGAUUUGACAAAGAUGAUGAGACAAUACUGGUGGGGGUGGAAAACGGAAAUAAAAAGAUGUCAUGCGUGGCUUGGGAGCGUUUGA